ACUGGAGAUGCUGUAAAAGCUUAGCCAAAAAAAUAUAUAUAACAUGAACUCUGUUGCAAUUUGUUUGAUGGAAGGCACAGGUUUCUGCAUAUUGAAGACAAAAUGAAAUAAUCCAAAAAAAGCUGAGCUUACUGAAGCUGUGCUGUUAAUUCUACAGACAAAACUGCAGUGCUCCCUAUCAGAUGUAUAUGUGUUACACUCUGCGUUAAUCAGUGCAUAGCUAAAUUCAGUUAAGAAGGUAACACACGGGAAUGAGAGGAGUUGAGCUGAGGUAUCUGAGAUGGUCAAAUGACCAUAACUCUUACUUUCUGAGGUGUAGGCUACUUUAUGAAUAUUCUAUGUGUAGAACUGGUAUAAUAUGCAGUCAUCAGAUACAAUCACCAAAGGCAGUCAGAGAAAUUGUGUGCAGUUUCUCACAUCUUUCUAGAUUUUCUCUUUUGAUUACUUGGUUGGCAUUUAGUAAACAAUUCCAUGGCAUGUUAAUCAGUUCAAAAGGAGAAAAAAAAUAUUCGGUGGUUUUGAUUCAGAGAUCAUCUAAAAAUAUAUUUUCUUAAAUAACCAUAGAGUAUAUUUAUGUUAUCAGAUGAUUAUUAUAGAUACAGAUGGAUGAAAAUUUAGUUGUUCUGGAAAUCAGACCUUUAAAUCUUGGUUUUGUCUUAAGAAUUUCCAUGAAAACAGGAAAAAGAAUUCUAAUCAUAAAAUUAUCUGCUAGAGGAUUGUGAAACAAGAAAAACAAUGAAAGCUGUUUAAGAGGUUUCUGUGUUCACCUAGAAUUGAAGUGCUAAAAUAUUCAUUUCAGGAUAUGCAGGGUCUUCUUGUUUGUUGUUGAAUAGAGACUGCUUACUGGCUUCAAUUAUUUAACAUUUAUAUUAAUAAAAACUGAGCAAUGUUCUAUGCACAAUUCAGCUAUUGCCCAUAAUAAUCCUAUUUUCACUAUACUUGAAAAAGUUGAAUCAAAUAUGCUCCACAUCUUGUUAUAGGCAAAAUUAAAAGCAUAUCUUUUAAAUGAAGUUAAAAUUUAUUAGUUUAAUUGAAAUCCCAGAAGCUUAAUCAACAGUUAUUGGUAGUUCAGAUUUAAUUAUUACAGAAAUAAUAGUAGGUAGUACUAUUACAGUUAAAACAAAACAAAAAAAAGCAUAACAAUACAGUUAAAUAGUACAGUAAAUAAUGCAGUUAAGUGCCCACUCCCUAAUGAUUAUUCAGUUCCCUGGCAUUCUUAGUCUUUCAUUGCUGUCAGGAACAGGGAAUAUGAAGGGAGGGCAACUGCAGUGAACCCUCAGCAUCCUUUUUGUCUGAAGAAGUCUGAUGCUGAUGUUUUUUUCCUCCUUGAUUAGAACAUACAAAAUUUUGAGGCAUUUGUUUGUUACCAAAGCUUAAUACAUUUUUAUCUCUUUGUUGUUCUCAAAUGUGCAAUACAUUUUACAUACCUUGAUACUUGUUCCUUUUUUCUAUUACCCCCAUAAAUAAUUUUGUCCAGAGCUGGGUUUCUUCCUCUGACUAUUGGCGAGUCAUCUGCAGCCCCAGGAUCUCCACUGCCAGCCCUCACCUCAUCUUUUGCCAUCCCAAGUACUCCUCCAUGCUAUGCUGCUGCUUCUCAUGGCCUCUGCUAUCAUGGAAAAUAUUUGUUCCUUUACACUGUUAUUCUGUUGAGGUCAUAAACCCCACUUCAAAAAAUAACUAAUUGCUAUUUCUGUCUAUAUAAUAACUAAGUGAGUUACAUACAAAAAUAAAUGUAUAUGAAGCAAGUUAGGAAUACCUACCUGGUCACUGACAGAUUACUGUUAUAACUAAACCAAGUGACCCAGGUGGGUCAAGAUAAGCUCAGACAAAAGAAACCGGGUAUCUCUGAGAUCUCCCAAACUCAAUACAAAAUCUGUGUCCUGCUAGUACUGAUGACAGUACAGAACUAUAGAGCUAUAUAUAUGUUUGUUUAUCUGUUUUAUGAAAGGGCAUCUGAACAGUGCUGCUACUGGUCAAAUUUUGUUUUGAUUAGAUAUUUAAUUGUACAACUACAUUAUCUGUUGUCAAUGCAAUUGUUGACGUAAACUGAAGUAUGUAUGUUUCUAAUCAGUAUAAUUAUUAAACUUCCAGUUAGUCAUGUCAAGAAGGUCCUCUUUAUUGUAAAAACAAUUCUUUUACACCAUUUUGCAGGUGGCACGUAUGGCAGCAGUAGGUAGCAUUUGGGGAAAAUACCAUUUUUCAAUGUUACGUCAUACUUAAUGAAUUUUAGAUUAAACCUUGCUGAGGAAAAUAUUACC
rnacentral:lncRNA from 1 species